rnacentral:rRNA from 1 species
GAUGAACGCUGGCGGCGUGCCUAAUACAUGCAAGUCGAGCGAACAGACGAGGAGCUUGCUCCUCUGACGUUAGCGGCGGACGGGUGAGUAACACGUGGAUAACCUACCUAUAAGACUGGGAUAACUUCGGGAAACCGGAGCUAAUACCGGAUAAUAUAUUGAACCGCAUGGUUCAAUAGUGAAAGACGGUUUUGCUGUCACUUAUAGAUGGAUCCCGGCCGCAUUAGCUAGUUGGUAAGGUAACGGCUUACCAAGGCUACGAUGCGUAGCCGACCUGAGAGGGUGGUCGGCCACACUGGAACUGAGACACGGUCCAGACUCCUACGGGAGGCAGCAGUAGGGAAUCGUCCGCAGUGGGCGAAAGCCUGACGGAGCAACGCCGCGUGAGUGAUGAAGGUCUUCGGAUCGUAAAACUCUGUUAUUAGGGAAGAACAAAUGUGUAAGUAACUAUGCACGUCUUGACGGUACCUAAUCAGAAAGCCACGGCUAACUACGUG